rnacentral:rRNA from 1 species
UACGGAGGGUGCAAGCGUUGUCCGGAAUCAUUGGGCGUAAAGGGCGCGUAGGCGGCUCAUGAAGGCUGUGGUGAAAGUCCGGGGCUCAACCUCGGAUCGGCCGUGGCGACUCGUGGGCUGGAGCACUGUAGAGGCGGGUGGAAUUCCGGGUGUAGCGGUGGAAUGCGUAGAGAUCCGGAAGAACACCAGUGGCGAAGGCGGCCCGCUGGGCAGUGGCUGACGCUGAGGCGCGACAGCGUGGGGAGCAAACAGG